rnacentral:rRNA from 1 species
GGUUAAGCGACUAAGCGUACACGGUGGAUGCCCUGGCAGUCAGAGGCGAUGAAGGGCGUGCUAAUCUGCGAUAAGCGCCGGUAAGGUGAUAUGAACCGUUAUAACCGGCGAUACCCGAAUGGGGAAACCCAGUGUGACUCGUCACACUAUCAUUAACUGAAUCCAUAGGUUAAUGAGGCGAACCGGGGGAACUGAAACAUCUAAGUACCCCGAGGAAAAGAAAUCAACCGAGAUUCCCCCAGUAGCGGCGAGCGAACGGGGAGGAGCCCAGAGCCUGAAUCAGCAUGUGUGUUAGUGGAAGCGUCUGGAAAGGCGCGCGAUACAGGGUGACAGCCCCGUACACAAAAGCGCAUGUGCUGUGAGCUCGAUGAGUAGGGCGGGACACGUGGUAUCCUGUCUGAAUAUGGGGGGACCAUCCUCCAAGGCUAAAUACUCCUGACUGACCGAUAGUGAACCAGUACCGUGAGGGAAAGGCGAAAAGAACCCCGGCGAGGGGAGUGAAAAAGAACCUGAAACCGUGUACGUACAAGCAGUGGGAGCCCCACCACCAAAGCAUUCUCUGGUGUUGAAGGCCCUGCAAAGCAGCAUCGCGGUGGCGGAGCGUCGUUUGCGACGCCCAACACACAAAACAAGCGGUGAGUGCUUUGGGGUGGGGUGACUGCGUACCUUUUGUAUAAUGGGUCAGCGACUUAUAUUCUGUAGCAAGGUUAACCGAAUAGGGGAGCCGGAGGGAAACCGAGUCUUAAUUGGGCGUUAAGUUGCAGGGUAUAGACCCGAAACCCGGUGAUCUAGCCAUGGGCAGGUUGAAGGUUGGGUAACACUAACUGGAGGACCGAACCGACUAAUGUUGAAAAAUUAGCGGAUGACCUGUGGCUGGGGGUGAAAGGCCAAUCAAACCGGGAGAUAGCUGGUUCUCCCCGAAAGCUAUUUAGGUAGCGCCUCGUGAAUUCAUCUCCGGGGGUAGAGCACUGUUUCGGCUAGGGGGCCAUCCCGGCUUACCAACCCGAUGCAAACUGCGAAUACCGGAGAAUGUUAUCACGGGAGACACACGGCGGGUGCUAACGUCCGUCGUGAAGAGGGAAACAACCCAGACCGCCAGCUAAGGUCCCAAAGUCAUGGUUAAGUGGGAAACGAUGUGGGAAGGCCCAGACAGCCAGGAUGUUGGCUUAGAAGCAGCCAUCAUUUAAAGAAAGCGUAAUAGCUCACUGGUCGAGUCGGCCUGCGCGGAAGAUGUAACGGGGCUAAACCAUGCACCGAAGCUGCGGCAGCGACGCUGAUGAGUUGUUGGGUAGGGGAGCGUUCUGUAAGCCUGUGAAGGUGUGUCGUGAGGCAUGCUGGAGGUAUCAGAAGUGCGAAUGCUGACAUAAGUAACGAUAAAGCGGGUGAAAAGCCCGCUCGCCGGAAGACCAAGGGUUCCUGUCCAACGUUAAUCGGGGCAGGGUGAGUCGACCCCUAAGGCGAGGCCGAAAGGCGUAGUCGAUGGGAAACAGGUUAAUAUUCCCGUACUUGGUGUUACUGCGAAGGGGGGACGGAGAAGGCUAUGUUGGCCGGGCGACGGUUGUCCCGGUUUAAGCGUGUAGGCUGGUUUUCCAGGCAAAUCCGGAAAAUCAAGGCUGAGGCGUGACGACGAGGCACUACGGUGCUGAAGCAACAAAUGCCCUGCUUCCAGGAAAAGCCUCUAAGCAUCAGGUAACAUCAAAUCGUACCCCAAACCGACACAGGUGGUCAGGUAGAGAAUACCAAGGCGCUUGAGAGAACUCGGGUGAAGGAACUAGGCAAAAUGGUGCCGUAACUUCGGGAGAAGGCACGCUGACACGUAGGUGAAGUGAUUUACUCAUGGAGCUGAAGUCAGUCGAAGAUACCAGCUGGCUGCAACUGUUUAUUAAAAACACAGCACUGUGCAAACACGAAAGUGGACGUAUACGGUGUGACGCCUGCCCGGUGCCGGAAGGUUAAUUGAUGGGGUCAGCGCAAGCGAAGCUCCUGAUCGAAGCCCCGGUAAACGGCGGCCGUAACUAUAACGGUCCUAAGGUAGCGAAAUUCCUUGUCGGGUAAGUUCCGACCUGCACGAAUGGCGUAAUGAUGGCCAGGCUGUCUCCACCCGAGACUCAGUGAAAUUGAACUCGCUGUGAAGAUGCAGUGUACCCGCGGCAAGACGGAAAGACCCCGUGAACCUUUACUAUAGCUUGACACUGAACAUUGAGCCUUGAUGUGUAGGAUAGGUGGGAGGCUUUGAAGUGUGGACGCCAGUCUGCAUGGAGCCGACCUUGAAAUACCACCCUUUAAUGUUUGAUGUUCUAACGUGGACCCGUAAUCCGGGUUGCGGACAGUGUCUGGUGGGUAGUUUGACUGGGGCGGUCUCCUCCUAAAGAGUAACGGAGGAGCACGAAGGUUGGCUAAUCCUGGUCGGACAUCAGGAGGUUAGUGCAAUGGCAUAAGCCAGCUUGACUGCGAGCGUGACGGCGCGAGCAGGUGCGAAAGCAGGUCAUAGUGAUCCGGUGGUUCUGAAUGGAAGGGCCAUCGCUCAACGGAUAAAAGGUACUCCGGGGAUAACAGGCUGAUACCGCCCAAGAGUUCAUAUCGACGGCGGUGUUUGGCACCUCGAUGUCGGCUCAUCACAUCCUGGGGCUGAAGUAGGUCCCAAGGGUAUGGCUGUUCGCCAUUUAAAGUGGUACGCGAGCUGGGUUUAGAACGUCGUGAGACAGUUCGGUCCCUAUCUGCCGUGGGCGCUGGAGAACUGAGGGGGGCUGCUCCUAGUACGAGAGGACCGGAGUGGACGCAUCACUGGUGUUCGGGUUGUCAUGCCAAUGGCACUGCCCGGUAGCUAAAUGCGGAAGAGAUAAGUGCUGAAAGCAUCUAAGCACGAAACUUGCCCCGAGAUGAGUUCUCCCUGAGACUUAAAGUCUCCUGAAGGAACGUUGAAGACGACGACGUUGAUAGGCCGGGUGUGUAAGCGCAGCGAUGCGUUGAGCUAACCGGUACUAAUGAACCGUGAGGCUUAACCUU